CCGACGCGCGAGGCCUCGGGAGGAGCGUCUCCGUGGUAACUCUGCUCCAGUCGCAAGACCUGGAAGUGGCCCCAGGGGGUCGCCCUUACUGUCCGUCGUGGAUGAAGGGGACCACUUGGCUUCAGAAAUCCCCGCUGGCCUCCGCCUCCCCUGGGGUUUCCCUUUCGGCGCAGGCUGGGCAGCGGCGUCAUCACAGCCAUCGCCACCCCAGUAAUCACAGCGAGCGGCCCUUUGCGCACGCGUGAGCCUCUUCAGGCCUCAGUACUUCUCACUUCGCCCGGCAAGGCUGGCCAGGAGGGGAGCAUUCUCGCUUUCCGCCUAUUUCAAGACCCCUCCCCUUCUGCAUGCUCGGUGUCCCAGUCUGUCUCCCCGCUGCCUGGGACUGAAGCAAAGUCCGCCCCGAAGCCGACCGUUCUUUGAAGCUGAAAUCCUCAAAAAGCCUGCGGACUGAAUAGCGCUGUACUAGGCACGCUCAUUGCGCUUCCAGCCGCCCUUGGAUGCUGCGUGCUGGGCCUGGUCGGGUUGGGGCCUUCCUACAUACUCUUGGGACCAUUAGGCUCUUCUUGGGUGAGUUGCAAGUUAAAAUUACCAGGGCUCUGUGAA
rnacentral:antisense_RNA from 1 species